AUUGAACGCUGGCGGCAGGCUUAACACAUGCAAGUCGAACGGUAACAGGAGAAAGCUUGCUUUCUUGCUGACGAGUGGCGGACGGGUGAGUAAUGCUUGGGAAUCUGGCUUAUGGAGGGGGAUAACGACGGGAAACUGUCGCUAAUACCGCGUAGUGUCGAGAGAUGAAAGUGCGGGACCUUCGGGCCGCAUGCCAUAGGAUGAGCCCAAGUGGGAUUAGGUAGUUGGUGGGGUAAAGGCCUACCAAGCCGACGAUCUCUAGCUGGUCUGAGAGGAUGACCAGCCACACCGGGACUGAGACACGGCCCGGACUCCUACGGGAGGCAGCAGUGGGGAAUAUUGCGCAAUGGGGGCAACCCUGACGCAGCCAUGCCGCGUGAAUGAAGAAGGCCUUCGGGUUGUAAAGUUCUUUCGGUAUUGAGGAAGGUUGUUGUGUUAAUAGCACGACAAAUUGACGUAAAU
rnacentral:rRNA from 1 species